rnacentral:rRNA from 1 species
CACGGAGGGUGCAAGCGUUAUUCGGACUCACUGGGCGUAAAGAGCGCGUAGGCGGUCUCUUAAGUCAGAUGUGAAAGCCCGGGGCUUAACCCCGGAAGUGCAUUUGAAACUAAGGGACUUGAGUAUGGGAGAGGGAAGUGGAAUUCCUGGUGUAGCGGUGAAAUGCGUAGAUAUCAGGAGGAACACCGGUGGCGAUGGCGACUUCCUGGACCAAUACUGACGCUGAGGCGCGAAGGCGUGGGGAGCAAACAGG